GACGAACGCUGGCGGCGUGCUUAACACAUGCAAGUCGAACGGACAGGCCCUGCUUUUGUGGGGUGCUCGAGUGGCGAACGGGUGAGUAACACGUGAGUAACCUGCCCUUGACUUUGGGAUAACUUCAGGAAACUGGGGCUCAUACCGCAUAGGAGCUCCUGCUGCAUGGUGGGGGUUGGAGAGUUUCGGCGGUUGGGGAUGGACUCGCGGGUUAUCCGCUUGUUGGUGGGGUAGUGGCUUACCAAGGCUAUGACGGGUAGCCGGCCUGAGAGGCUGACCGGCGACAAUGGGACUAAGAGAGGGCGCAGACGGGUACGGGAGGCAGCAGGGGGGAAUAUUGCACAAUGGGCGGAAGCGUGAUGCAGCAACGCCGCGUGCGGGAUGACGGCUUUCGGGUUGUAAACCGCUUUCGCAUGUGACGAAGCGUGAGUGACGGUAAUGGGUAAAGAAGCACCGGCUAACUACGUG
rnacentral:rRNA from 1 species